ACGUAGGGUGCGAGCGUUAAUCGGAAUUACUGGGCGUAAAGCGUGCGCAGGCGGUUCGCUAAGACAGGUGUGGAAUCCCCGGGCUUAACCUGGGAAUGGCGCUUGUGACUGGCGGGCUAGAGUCCGGUAGAGGGGGGUGGAAUUCCACGUGUAGCGGUGAAAUGCGUAGAGAUGUGGAGGAACACCGAUGGCGAAGGCAGCCCCCUGGGCCGAGACUGACGCUCAGGCGCGAAAGCGUGGGGAGCAAACAG
rnacentral:rRNA from 1 species